rnacentral:rRNA from 1 species
UACGUAGGGACCAAGCGUUGUCCGGAAUCAUUGGGCGUAAAGAGCGUGUAGGCGGCUUGUUAAGUCUUGCGUGAAAUCUCGGGGCUCAACCCCGAGCGGUCGUGAGAAACUGGCAGGCUAGAGUGCGGAAGAGGGAAGCGGAAUUUCCGGUGUAGCGGUGAAAUGCGUAGAUAUCGGAAGGAACACCAGUGGCGAAAGCGGCUUCCUGGUCCAGCACCGACGUUCAGGCACGAAAGCGUGGGGAGCAAACAGG